CUUUUACCUGUCCAGUGGAAUCAAAUCACUAAAGGUGAAGGAAAUUAGGGAUCAAGUUCAGAUUCAACUUUAGAUUUCUCUUUGCGGUUUCCCAGAGUCUUCUCAGACACCCGGGUGUGGUUUCCGGGAAAGGGGAUCUAUCAUUGAGCAGCUGGAGAAGGAGGCUCAGAGGACUCUUAUGCCUUCUCUCAAGAUUGAGACAUGCUGUGCCCCAAUCCUCCUCUCCUUCCUGAGGAGUCUUUUCUCUAGCCAAUGGAGAGUGAUUCAGCAUGGCAUGAAAAAUAACCUCACAUUCGAGCAGCUCUCCAUGCUGUGUCUGAAGAUUGUUAAAGUCGUGACCCAGACAGCCCUCCGCAUUCUCCUACCAGCGCUAGCUCGUAUCAUGGGGGUGAACCUGAGGAGUGGGGCAACCUCCCCAGAAUCCCAGUGCUCUCUGACAGGGUCUGAGGAUUCCUUAGGCAGUCUGGAUGAGAGAGAGAAAAGGCUGCUGACCAGUGAGAUGAACUACUGGACUAAGGAGAGGAGGAGGAAUGGCAGUGCAGGGUGCCGCCAUAAAUCCACUCGCAGAACCUCAUCACCAUGCUGUUCGCCUAAGAGCGUUCCAAGAGAGGAAACAAAAAGGACUGCCAUUCAGUCCAGGAACAGACUGAGAUUCCCUCUACUGAUGGACAUUGCAUAGGUAAGGACUUUAGAGCUCUGCUAUAGCUUGUAGUUUUGUU
ensembl:lncRNA